GACCACACGGGAUAAUCGAUUUUCCGCUGCGGAUGAGUUAAGUCGACCGCAUAGGAUAAUCGAUUAUCUCGUGCGGUU
rnacentral:pre_miRNA from 11 species